UUAAUGGAGAGUUUGAUCCUGGCUCAGGACGAACGCUGGCGGCGUGCCUAAUACAUGCAAGUCGAGCGGAGUUGAUGAGGUGCUUGCACCUCUGAUGCUUAGCGGCGGACGGGUGAGUAACACGUAGGUAACCUGCCCGACAGACCGGGAUAACAUUCGGAAACGAAUGCUAAUACCGGAUACGCGAUAU
rnacentral:rRNA from 1 species